GGUGGAAAGAUUUAUCGGUGCAGGAUGGGCCCGCGGCCUAUCAGCUUGUUGGUGGGGUAAUGGCCUACCAAGGCGACGACGGGUAGCCGACCUGAGAGGGUGACCGGCCACACUGGGACUGAGACACGGCCCAGACACCUACGGGAGGCAGCAGUGGGGAAUAUUGCACAAUGGGCGAAAGCCUGAUGCAGCGACGCCGCGUGAGGGAUGACGGCCUUCGGGUUGUAAACCUCUUUCAGCAGGGACGAAGCGCAAGUGACGGUACCUGCAGAAGAAGCACCGGCUAACUACGUGCCAGCAGCCGCGGUAAUACGUAGGGUGCAAGCGUUGUCCGGAAUUACUGGGCGUAAAGAGUUCGUAGGCGGUUUGUCGCGUCGUUUGUGAAAACCAGCAGCUCAACUGCUGGCUUGCAGGCGAUACGGGCAGACUUGAGUACUGCAGGGGAGACUGGAAUUCCUGGUGUAGCGGUGAAAUGCGCAGAUAUCAGGAGGAACACCGGUGGCGAAGGCGGGUCUCUGGGCAGUAACUGACGCUGAGGAACGAAAGCGUGGGUAGCGAACAGGAUUAGAUACCCUGGUAGUCCACGCCGUAAACGGUGGGCGCUAGGUGUGGGUUCCUUCCACGGAAUCCGUGCCGUAGCUAACGCAUUAAGCGCCCCGCCUGGGGAGUACGGCCGCAAGGCUAAAACUCAAAGGAAUUGACGGGGGGCCCGCACAAGCGGCCGGAGCAUGUGGGAUUAAUUUCGAUGCAACGCGAAAAAACCUUACCUGGGGUUUGACAUAUACCCGGAAAGCUGCAAAAGAUGUGGGCCCCCCUUGGGGGCCGGUAUACAAGGUGGGUGCAUGGGUUGUCCGCCAGCUCCGUGUCGUGGAAAUGUUGGGGUAAAGUCCCCGCAACCAAGCGCAACCCCCUAUCUUAAUGUUUGCCAGCACCGUUAUUGGUGGGGGACUCCGUAAAGAGACUUGCCCGGGGGUCAACUUCCGGAAGGAAAGGUGGGGGGACGGACCGUCAAAGUCAUUCAUUGCCCCCUUUAUUGUCCCAGGGGCUUUCCACCCAUUGCUUACAAAUGGGCCAAGUAACAAAAAGGGCUUCCCAAAACCCCCUGAAAGGUGGAAACGGAAAUCCCCCUUAAAAACUGGGGGCCUCCAGUUCGGAAAUCGGGGGGGUUUGGGCAACUUCCGCACCCCCCCUCGAAAAUCCGGGAGAUCCCCCAAUGUAUAUUUCCCGGAAAUCUACCCCAACCCUUUCCCGGGGGGAAUAAAAAAUUUCCCCCCGGGGCCUUUUGGUAAAAAACACACGCCCCUUGCCCCACGCUUUUUAGGAAAAAUCUGGGGUAACAACCCCCCAAAAAACCCCGCGGGGGGUUUUAAACCCUCUUUUUUGGGGGGGAGGAGUCUCCUCAAAAAAUGGGGGGCUAAGGGGACAAGGGAGGACAGGGGGGACCAGAAAAAAAAAAAUAAGAAAGGCGCCCGGCUGUAGAAGUAGGGGGGGGAAAGCGAA
rnacentral:rRNA from 1 species